GCACAGCUGAGGAGUCCCACAAUAGGACGAAACGGCCGUCCAAUGC
rnacentral:hammerhead_ribozyme from 1 species